GGUUUCGUGGUGUAGUUGUUUAUCACACCAGUUUAACACACUGGUGGUCUCCGGUUCGAGCCCGGGUGAAAUCA